CCUACGGGAGGCAGCAGUGGGGAAUUUUGGACAAUGGGCGAAAGCCUGAUCCAGCAAUGCCGCGUGCAGGAAGAAGGCCUUCGGGUUGUAAACUGCUUUUGUACGGAACGAAACGGUCUGCUUUAAUACAGUGGGCUAAUGACGGUACCGUAAGAAUAAGCACCGGCUAACUACGUGCCAGCAGCCGCGGUAAUACGUAGGGUGCGAGCGUUAAUCGGAAUUACUGGGCGUAAAGCGUGCGCAGGCGGUUAUAUAAGACAGUUGUGAAAUCCCCGGGCUCAACCUGGGAAUUGCAUCUGUGACUGUAUGGCUAGAGUACGGUAGAGGGGGAUGGAAUUCCGCGUGUAGCAGUGAAAUGCGUAGAUAUGCGGAGGAACACCGAUGGCGAAGGCAAUCCCCUGGACCUGUACUGACGCUCAUGCACGAAAGCGUGGGGAGCAAACAGGAUUAGAUACCCUGGUAGUCCACGCCCUAAACGAUGUCAACUGGUUGUUGGGUGCAUUAGUACUCAGUAACGAAGCUAACGCGUGAAGUUGACCGCCUGGGGGAGGACGGCCGCGAGGUUAGUAACGUUAAAGUAAGUUAGUACGGCGUGAGACGUAGACCGACGGACGACGACGAGGGAGGAGG
rnacentral:rRNA from 1 species